rnacentral:rRNA from 1 species
AACGCUGGCGGCAGGCCUAACACAUGCAAGUCGAGCGGUAGAGAGGAGCUUGCUCCUCUUGAGAGCGGCGGACGGGUGAGUAAUGCCUAGGAAUCUGCCUGGUAGUGGGGGAUAACGUUCGGAAACGGACGCUAAUACCGCAUACGUCCUACGGGAGAAAGCAGGGGACCUUCGGGCCUUGCGCUAUCAGAUGAGCCUAGGUCGGAUUAGCUAGUUGGUGAGGUAAUGGCUCACCAAGGCGACGAUCCGUAACUGGUCUGAGAGGAUGAUCAGUCACACUGGAACUGAGACACGGUCCAGACUCCUACGGGAGGCAGCAGUGGGGAAUAUUGGACAAUGGGCGAAAGCCUGAUCCAGCCAUGCCGCGUGUGUGAAGAAGGUCUUCGGAUUGUAAAGCACUUUAAGUUGGGAGGAAGGGCAGUAAAUUAAUACUUUGCUGUUUUGACGUUACCGACAGAAUAAGCACCGGCUAACUCUGUGCCAGCAGCCGCGGUAAUACAGAGGGUGCAAGCGUUAAUCGGAAUUACUGGGCGUAAAGCGCGCGUAGGUGGUUUGUUAAGUUGGAUGUGAAAUCCCCGGGCUCAACCUGGGAACUGCAUUCAAAACUGACUGACUAGAGUAUGGUAGA